rnacentral:rRNA from 1 species
CAGCAGCCACGGGAAUACAGAGGGUGCAAGCGUUAAUCGGAAUUACUGGGCGUAAAGCGCGCGUAGGUGGUUUGUUAAGUUGGAUGUGAAAGCCCCGGGCUCAACCUGGGAACUGCAUCCAAAACUGGCAAGCUAGAGUACGGUAGAGGGUGGUGGAAUUUCCUGUGUAGCGGUGAAAUGCGUAGAUAUAGGAAGGAACACCAGUGGCGAAGGCGACCACCUGGACUGAUACUGACACUGAGGUGCGAAAGCGUGGGGAGCAAACAGGAUUAGAUACCCGUGUAGUCCCUGUCUCUUAUAA